rnacentral:rRNA from 1 species
GACAGAGGGUGCGAACGUUGCUCGGAAUUCCUGGGAGUAAAGCGCGUGUAGGCGGACUAGUAAGUCGAACGUGAAAUCCCCAGGCUCAACCUGGGAACUGCGUCCGAUACUGGCAGGCUUGAAUCCGGGAGAGGGAUGUGGAAUUCCAGGUGUAGCGGUGAAAUGCGUAGAUAUCUGGAGGAACACCGGUGGCGAAGGCGGAAUCCUGGACCGGUAUUGACGCGGAGGCGCGAAAGCUAGGGGAGCAAACGGG